rnacentral:rRNA from 1 species
ACUCAUGUGCAUGGUGAAUGCCUUGGGUCUUGAUGCCGAAGAAGGACGCACUAGGCUGCGAAAAGCCUCGAGGAGUUGCCAAGAAACGCUAUAACUCGGGGAUUUCCGAAUGGGACAACCCUUCUGUCAUAAGACAGAAAUCCUUUACUGAAAAUUUACCUUUAGGGUAGAUCAUAGGUAAUGAGAAGGUAACCCGGCGAACUGACACAUCUUAGUAGCCGGAGGAAAAGAAACUAAGAUACACCUAAUUUAUUAGGUAAAGUAUUUCCUAAGUAGCGGCGAGCGAACGGGAAACAGCCCAAACUCAAGUUCAGAUCUAUUUAUUUAGAUCCGUUAAGACUUUGAUUUAUCAAAAUCCUAGCGACUUGGGGGUAUGGAAACUCUAUGUCUUAAGAUAGAGAAGUUACAAAGUUUUUUUGUAGGAGAAGCUUUCUGGAAAGCGGCGCCAUAGCGGGUAAUAGCCCCGUAUCCGAAACAAAAAAACCUUCUUGAGUUUUCCUGAGUAACACGAGUCACGUGUAACCUUGUGUGAAGAUAGCAGGACCAUCUGCUAAGGCUAAAUACAUCAAGACACCGAUAGUGGACAAGUACCGUGAGGGAAAGGUGAAAAGAACCCCUUGUAGGGGAGUGAAAUAGAACCUGAAACCGUGCACAGACAAGCUGAUAAAGCCCCGUCGUAUUUAUACGAUUGAGGGUGAUAUUGUGCCUAUUGAAAAAUGAGCCAACGAGUUAAUAGGAUGCGCAAGCUUAAGCAAUUAAGUUGUGGAGGCGUAGGGAAACCGAGUCUUAACCGGCGCAUAUCCAUAUUUAUAUGGAUUAGUGCAUUCUAUUAGACCCGAAGCCUGGUGAGCUAACCAUGGGCAGGGUGAACUUGUCGUAAUUGACAAGGGAGGCCCGAACCGGUGUAUGUGAAAAAUGCUCGGAUGACCUGUGGUUAGGGCCGAAACGGUAAUCGAACCAGGUGAUAGCUGGCUCUCCCCGAAAUAUAUGUAGGUAUAGCCUCGAUCUUAUAUGGUUUGUGAGGUAGAGAAACUGAAAAGAACUUGGGCGCUUGCGUACCAGUUUUUACCAAACUCCGAAUGCGCAAACCUUUGAUCGGGAGUCAGUUCUAGGGAGCAAGUUCCUAGCGCAAAAGGGAAACAUCCCGGACCAUCAGCUAAGGUCCCUAAUCUUUGCUUAGUGAGAAAGAAAGUGAAACUGUUUAGACAGCUAGGAGGUUGGCUUAGAAGCAGCAAUCCUUUAAAGAAAGCGUAACAGCUCACUAGUUAAACGGUCUCGCGUCGAAAAUGUAACGGGACUCAAGCAAAGAACCGACGCUAUGGUUUUGUCAUAAUUUAUUAUGGCAGAAGGUAGGGGAGCAUUGAUGUCAUUCAAACUAAUAUUUUUGCUUGCAAAAACAAGUUUGAAUCUAGGCUGUGAAGGUAGACUCGCGAGAGCUACUGGAGCGUCAUCAAGAGAGAAUGUUGGCAUGAGUAACGAGAAGGAGGUGAGAACCCUCCUCGCCGAAAGUCUAAGGGUUCCUCCGCUAUGUCAGUCAUCGGAGGGUUAGUCGACCCUAAGGCGAGGCCGAAAGGCGUAGCCGAUGGAUAGCAGGUUAAUAUUCCUGCACUACUAUAAAACCGUUUUACCAAUGGAGGGACGGAGUUUGAUAAGCUGGGUCCAUUAAGGAUUUGGGUUCCAAGAGCAAGUUAGGAAGCGAUAGGAAAAUCCGCGCUUCCGUUUAAGGCAAGCUUGAGGGAGAGGUCCAUCUUCGGAUGGAGUAUUCAGCUGAGUUAAGCUUCCAAGAAAAGCUUCUAGGGAGGUUUUAUAGUAUUCGUACCGCAAACCGACACAGGUAGAUGGGUAGAGGAUACCAAGGCGAACGAGAGAACCGUGGUUGAGGAACUAGGCAAAUUACAUCCGUAACUUAGGGAAAAGGAUGCCCUAUCGCAAGAUAGGGGGCACAAAAAUGGCUCAAGCGACUGUUUAUUAAAAACACAGGUCCCUGCUUAACUCGUAAGAGGACGUAUAGGGGCCGACACCUGCCCAGUGCCCGUAAGUUAAAACUGGAGGUGAUUCCUUUACUUGUAAAGGAUGAGCUUUUGGUCCAAGCUCGGGUGAACGGCAGCAGUAACUAUAACUGUUCUAAGGUAAACAACGCGCUGCUUUAGUAAAAUUUGGCUAUAUGCUGGGAUAUCUGGAGUAUCUGAUACUAGGCAUUUGAUUGUAAUAAUUAACUUUAUUAUAAUUAGCUUAAUGCCUAAAAAUGUAUUCAGUGCAGACAAUCAGCAGGAAAGGCUAAGAAUCAUAGGUUGGAUAGUUGGUUUUGUAGAUGGUGAAGGUGCUUUUACAGUUAGCAUUUUCAAAAAUUCCACUGCAAAACUUGGAUUGCAAGUGUUUCCAGAGUUUAUUGUAACUCAGGGAGCAAAGAGUAAAGAUGUUCUAGAUCUCUUUCAGGAUUUUUUCUCUUGUGGGAAAGUAUAUCUUAAUAAAAGAUAUGAUAAUCACAGGGAAAACCUUUACCGUUAUUGUGUUAGAUCUAUUGGUGAUCUCAAUACAAUUAUCAUUCCAUUUUUUAAAGAGAAUGAAUUAAGAACGGCAAAGAAGCGAGAUUUUGAGUAUUUCUGCGAAGUACUUAAUCUCAUGGACAAAAGAGAGCAUCUAGUUUUAUCUGGAAUUGAAAGAAUCUCCAAAAUAGCUAUGCAAAUGAACCGAAAGGUGAAACCUAAAUUCUUAGAAUCCCCACAGACUAAACGCCGAACUUGAUAAAAAGGCUGUUUAUCAAGAAGAUAUAGUCGCAUCUGCAUGGCGACAUGCAGUAACGGAAAUUUGAGGGAAAUUCCGUUUGAAGUCCCUUCCCAUUAUGUGAUAUGGAAAGAGAUAAAGAAUGUAAGCGUAAUCCCUUGCCGGGUAAGUUCCGGCCUGCACGAAAGGUGUAACGACUUGAGCACUCUCUUAAUCACGGACUCGGUGAAAUUGAACUACCGGUCAAGAUGCCGGUUACCUGUUGCUGGACAGAUAGACCCCGUGGAGCUUUACUGUAUUCUGACAUUGGU